rnacentral:rRNA from 1 species
CUGCGAAUGGCUCGGUAAAACAGCAAUAAUUUCUUCGAUGAUGAGUUUACUCACGGAUAACCGUAGUAAUUCUAGAGCUAAUACGUGCUGAGAUAAAAUGGGGCUCACGCUCCAUUGUGCCGUUUAGAUAACAACACCAACAUUUGGUGAUUCAUAAUCGUCUUUCUGAUCGCUUCUAGCGACGCAUCGUUCAAAUUUCUGACCUAUCAACUUUCGAUGGUAAGGUAGUGUCUUACCAUGGUGGCAACGGGUAACGGACCGUGGGUGCGGGACUCCGGAGAGGGAGCCUGAGAAACGGCUACCACAUCCAAGGAAGGCAGCAGGCGCGCAACUUGCCCAAUCCAGACUCUGGGAGGCAGUGACAAGAAAUAUCAAUAGGGGAUCCUAUGGGUCUUCUAAUUGGAAUGAGAACAAGCUAAACAGCUUAUCGAGAAUCCAGCAGAG